UACGUAGGGCGCAAGCGUUAUCCGGAAUUAUUGGGCGUAAAGAGCUCGUAGGCGGUUUGUCGCGUCUGCUGUGAAAUCCCGAGGCUCAACCUCGGGCCUGCAGUGGGUACGGGCAGACUAGAGUGCGGUAGGGGAGAUUGGAAUUCCUGGUGUAGCGGUGGAAUGCGCAGAUAUCAGGAGGAACACCGAUGGCGAAGGCAGAUCUCUGGGCCGUAACUGACGCUGAGGAGCGAAAGGGUGGGGAGCAAACAGGCUUAGAUACCCUGGUAGUCCACCCCGUAAACGUUGGGAACUAGUUGUGGGGUCCAUUCCACGGAUUCCGUGACGCAGCUAACGCAUUAAGUUCCCCGCCUGGGGAGUACGGCCGCAAGGCUAAA
rnacentral:rRNA from 1 species